rnacentral:rRNA from 1 species
GUAGUCAUAUGCUUGUCUCAAAGAUUAAGCCAUGCAUGUCUAAGUAUAAACAAAUUUGUACUGUGAAACUGCGAAUGGCUCAUUAAAUCAGUUAUGGUUUAUUUGAUGAUAUCUUGCUACAUGGAUAACUGUGGUAAUUCUAGAGCUAAUACAUGCAAUCAAGCCCCGACUUCCGGAAGGGGUGUAUUUAUUAGAUAAAAAACCAACGCGGCUCGCCGCUCCCUUGGUGAUUCAUAAUAACUUCUCGAAUCGCAUGGCCUUGUGCCGGCGAUGCUUCAUUCAAAUAUCUGCCCUAUCAACUUUCGAUGGUGGGAUAGAGGCCUACCAUGGUUUCAACGGGUAACGGGGAAU